UACGUAGGUGGCAAGCGUUGUCCGGAUUUAUUGGGCGUAAAGGGCGUGUAGGCGGCCUGUCAAGUCAGAGGUGAAAACCCAGGGCUCAACCCUGUGGACUGCCUCUGAAACUGGUGGGCUUGAGUAUCCUAGAGGACAGUGGAAUUCCGGGUGUAGCAGUGAAAUGCGUAGAGAUCCGGAGGAACACCAGUGGCGAAGGCGACUGUCUGGGGGAUAACUGACGCUGAGGCGCGAAAGCUGGGGGAGCAAACAGG
rnacentral:misc_RNA from 1 species